GACGAACGCUGGCGGCGUGCUUAACACAUGCAAGUCGAACGGAAAGGCCCUGCUUUUGUGGGGUGCUCGAGUGGCGAACGAGUGAGUAACACGUGAGUAACCUGCCCUUGACUUUGGGAUAACUUCAGGAAACUGGGGCUAAUACCGGAUAGUAGCUCCUGCAUCAUGGUGGGGGUUGGAAAGUUUGGGCGGUUGGGGAUGGACUCGCGGCUUAUCAGUUUGUUGGCGGGGUAGUGGCUUACCAAGGCUUUGCCGGGUAGCCGGCCUGAGAGGGUGACCGGCCACAUUGGGACUGAGAGACGGCCCAGAUUCCUACGGGAGGCAGCAGUGGGGAAUAUUGCACAAUGGGCGGAAGCCUGAUGCAGCAACGCCGCGUGCGGGAUGACGGCCUUCGGGUUGUAAACCGCUUUCGCCUGUGACGAAGCGUGAGUGACGGUAAUGGGUAAAGAAGCACCGGCUAACUACGUG
rnacentral:rRNA from 1 species